GAUAUGGUUGUGAAAAAAAAGUUUUUUUUCCUGUUUUCAUUGCAAAAGAAUCGAAUGAAUGAAUGAAUGUGUAUGUCUUUGACAUGAAUGAUGCCCGCGAGCAUAUUUGUGUACUACAAAUCAUCAUCAUGGAUGAUAAUGAUGAUGAUGAUGAACAUUUUAGAUAAAAUAAACCAAUGAAAUGAUGUUUAGAAAUUGUUUAGUAUUUCUUGGAAUUUUUAUUCAGACUAUACCUUGAUCGAUUGUUUUUUUUUCUGGUUUUGUUCGUUUUCUAUGAAACAUUUCAUUUCUUCAGGGUGAUUUAAGGAAUAUUAAUAAACAACAACAACAACAAUUGUCAAAGACAAAGAAUAUAAAGACAUUUGAAAUGAACGGGAAAAAAAAAAUUCAAUUUAUUGUCAUUGGCAACAACAACAACGACGAAUAAUAAUAACCAACCAACAUCUUAUUAGGAACGAAUAAAAUGGAAAAGAUCAAAACAAUCGAUAGAAUCGAUAAGAAUAAAUUACAAUUGUAAUCAACCAAUCGAUGCAUGAUUUAUCCUGGCGAUGUGAUAAACCACAAAGAGCAGAAAAAAAAGUUAAAUAUUUGAUCUGACCAAAAGAAAAUCUUUUCAUUUUCAUUUUCAU